rfam:Glycine max cultivar Williams 82 chromosome 8, whole genome shotgun sequence.
GCUGCGGUGAUGAGGCUCUAACAUAUAAGAAGAAUCCUUUUUUUGGGUUUCUUCAAUGAAAUAUACAUGUUACGCUUGGCUUCUGAGCUUC